rnacentral:rRNA from 1 species
GACGAACGCUGGCGGCGUGCCUAAUACAUGCAAGUAGAACGCUGAAGAGAGGAGCUUGCUCUUCUUGGAUGAGUUGCGAACGGGUGAGUAACGCGUAGGUAACCUGCCUUGUAGCGGGGGAUAACUAUUGGAAACGAUAGCUAAUACCGCAUAACAAUGGAUGACCCAUGUCAUUUAUUUGAAAGGGGCAAAUGCUCCACUACAAGAUGGACCUGCGUUGUAUUAGCUAGUAGGUGAGGUAACGGCUCACCUAGGCGACGAUACAUAGCCGACCUGAGAGGGUGAUCUGCCACACUGGGACUGGGACACGGCCCAGACUCCUACGGGAGGCAGCAGUAGGGAAUCUUCGGCAAUGGGGGCAACCCUGACCGAGCAACGCCGCGUGAGUGAAGAAGGUUUUCGGAUCGUAAAGCUCUGUUGUAAGUCAAGAACGAGUGUGAGAGUGGAAAGUUCACACUGUGACGGUAGCUUACCAGAAAGGGACGGCUAACUACGUG